rnacentral:rRNA from 1 species
CCCUACGGGGCGCAGCAGUAGGGAAUCUUCCACAAUGGGCGAAAGCCUGAUGGAGCAACGCCGCGUGGGUGAAGAAGGUCUUCGGAUCGUAAAACCCUGUUGUUAGAGAAGAAAGUGCGUGAGAGUAACUGUUCACGUUUCGACGGUAUCUAACCAGAAAGCCACGGCUAACUACGUGCCAGCAGCCGCGGUGAUACGUAGGUGGCAAGCGUUAUCCGGAUUUAUUGGGCGUAAAGGGAACGCAGGCGGUCUUUUCAGUCUGAUGUGAAAGCCUUCGGCUUAACCGGAGUAGUGCAUUGGAAACU